UCAAAAUCUGAAAUCAAAAGGUUAUUAAUCUUGAUUUUCUUGACUUAAUUAAAUAAUUGCAGAUCAACAGCCUUGCUAAAAUUGCAAAUGUACCAUUUAUAUUUCCCAUGACAUGGCUCUCAAUUUCAAACUUCAUUGAAUGAAUUAAUCUCAAAUGGUUCAUUAAAUCCUUAUUAGUUUUAAAUGCGUUGUCACAAUCCGAUUCAAGGCAACGACUACUAAAAGUGGAGCCCUUUUCCUCUUGAUAUGAAUAAGCUACAGGUUCUGGAUGUUUUUGAUGCACUUCUCUUACAUGCCUGUUACGAGACGAUUGUGUGGCAAACAGUUCUUUACAUAUAGGACACUUUGACGGCAUUGUUUUUUUCCAAAUUCUAGAACUACACUGUGCUUUACACAUCCCGUAUACAUAACCGCAGACCUCUAAAAUUAGCUUAUUGUAAACAUAAGCAGAUGACAGAAGCCAAAUAAUGACAACGUCGGUACGGUUCGGGUAGUAUUCGCGAUGCAAAUUACCGAUGAGGGCGCUGGUGCUUGUAAGCAAAUAUGGAGGAAAGCAAGAACUCUUUCGGCAUUGACGCUUUGCUUUCCGGUGAGAAGAAACGUUUUCCCUCGUGUUGAACGGUUUGAGUAUUAUUAAAGGUAAAAAUUGUUAGUGGUUGGCGUGAAAAACAUUUGAAAUUUUGGUGUUGCGAUGAGUUCUCAAGUGUUCUUACUGUUGAGAACCGUAUUCGCUUACUUAAACGCACAUGCAGAAAGCAGAUGUGUCGUUGAAGGAGAAGAACUUUUAAAUGCUAAUCACAUUAUGUUGAUUGGCAUUACAAGUGAAACAGAUGCCACAAAAGGCAUAUUAGCCUUAUGUCUGCAAACUAGUGCGCUGAAAAGUGUGCCACAUGAACUAAAGGGUACCUUAGGACUGCAAGAAAAUAACAUAGAAAUUAAAACAUUCAAAUGCAGCUGCAAAGCUGGUUUGUCUGGGACCUGCAAACAUAUAAGUGCCGUACUGUUAAAAUGCACAAGGACCGAUAUUCUUUCACUAGAGAAGUUAUCUUCUACUGAUGUCAAAUGCUACUGGACCGACAACAAACGAAAAGUGGGGCAGGAUUAUGAACCCCAACAACUACUUAAAACAGCAUGUUUCAUUAAAAAAAAAUUUCCACAGUUGACUUAACAGCAGAACAAGGCGAAUACUGUUUCGAAACAUUGACUAAGCUUUGUAAAGAUUCUGGGUUAAGUAAGCAUUUAAAAGGACGAUCGACACAGCUAAACAAAGUCAACGGCAUCAAUACCAAUCAAUACUAUUCUUGUGAAAAUCGUCAAAAUAUUAUGGAUAAGAUGGAAAAUUCCCAAUUUUUGGAUUCUCUAAAUAUUAAAAUUUCUGAUUUUUAUGUCAGAGCCUGCUGUAAAAAAGUAUUGAAAAACGAAGUACUUACCAUCGAAAAAUAUGAAGAAAUAAUGAAUUAUCCUCAAAAAUCUGCAAUUUGGUAUAAAGAGAGACAAUUACGACUAACUGGCUCAAGAUGUUACGCAGUUUACACAUUUUCCAAAGCUGACUGGUCGGAACAAGCAAAAAACUUUUUUUGGCCUAAGGAGCUUUCAAAUAAGUACGUCGAACACUGUCUAAAGUAUAAGUCGGAGGCAUUAGAAGAGUAUAAAAUUAUAACCAAGUAUGAUGUUCGUCAGCUUGGUUUAAUUAUUUGCAAAAAUUUCCAUUUCUGGCUUAUUCACCUGAUGGUGUUGUUUUGGUUCAGGCUCAUUCUACUAGGCUAAUAGAAAUCAAAUGUCCAUAUGAAGGUAUUGAAAAAGAUGCCAUCAGCUUUGUAGAGACUUGUUCAUUUCUGGAAUUAAGUGAUACUAGAAUGACAAUAAAAAAGAAGCACCAAUAUUAUGGACAAGUCCAGCUUGGGAUGGCCAUUUUAAAUUUAGAGAUUUGUGAUGUUUUGGUGUAUUCUUCAAAAUCAAAAUCUUUUUUGAACAUUGUUGUGCCAUUCGAUAAAGAUUUUGCUGUGGAUUUGAUACACACAAUAACACAAAAAUAUUUUAACAAUUUGCUUCAUUUUGUCUGUGAACAAAAUAGGACAUUGUGAAAUAAUAUAAAUAUAUAACAUUAAUUGGCA